GGGGAAUAUUGCGCAAUGGGGGCAACCCUGACGCAGCCAUGCCGCGUGAAUGAAGAAGGCCUUCGGGUUGUAAAGUUCUUUCGGUAGCGAGGAAGGCAUUUAGUUUAAUAGACUAGGUGAUUGACGUUAAAUACAGAAGAAGCACCGGCUAACUCCGUGCCAGCAGCCGCGGUAAUACGGAGGGUGCGAGCGUUAAUCGGAAUAACUGGGCGUAAAGGGCACGCAGGCGGUUAUUUAAGUGAGGUGUGAAAGCCCCGGGCUUAACCUGGGAAUUGCAUUUCAGACUGGGUAACUAGAGUACUUUAGGGAGGGGUAGAAUUCCACGUGUAGCGGUGAAAUGCGUAGAGAUGUGGAGGAAUACCGAAGGCGAAGGCAGCCCCUUGGGAAUGUACUGACGCUCAUGUGCGAAAGCGUGGGGAGCAAACAGGAUUAGAUACCCUGGUAGUCCACGCUGUAAACGCUGUCGAUUUGGGGAUUGGGCUUAAAGCUUGGUGCCCGUAGCUAACGUGAUAAAUCGACCGCCUGGGGAGUACGGCCGCAAGGUUA
rnacentral:rRNA from 1 species